CGUUGUGAUGUUAGCAAAAACAAAUAUAUUAAAUAAAAGUACUCUAUAUUUUUUCCCCAAUUCACACUUCACACACCAUUAAUGUCAAUAUUGGUUCCCCAAACCAUAAGUGUACCCUCUUCACUACACUUAGUCAAGGUUUUGUAAAUAUAAUAAUGUGCCAUUAUACCAAAGAAAUAAAUUCUAAACAAGUUUUUAAAAAUAAAUCAUCAUUAAGACAAAAAUUAAUUUUAUUUAACAAUGUUAAGACUAUAAAACUGUUCAUUAAAG